rnacentral:rRNA from 1 species
GACAGAGGGUGCAAACGUUGUUCGGAAUUACUGGGCGUAAAGCGUGUGUAGGCGGCCACAUAAGUCGGGUGUGAAAGCCCCGGGCUCAACCCGGGAAGUGCACUCGAAACUGCGUGGCUUGAGUACUGGAGAGGUUGGUAGAAUUCUAGGUGUAGAGGUGAAAUUCGUAGAUAUCUAGAGGAAUACCGGUGGCGAAGGCGGCCAACUGGACAGAUACUGACGCUGAGACACGAAAGCGUGGGGAGCAAACAGG